rnacentral:rRNA from 1 species
UACGUAGGUGGCGAGCGUUGUCCGGAUUUACUGGGCGUAAAGAGCGCGCAGGCGGUCGUACAAGUCGCGUGUGAAAGCCCCCGGCUCAACUGGGGAGGGUCACGCGAUACUGUUCGACUCGAAGGCAGGAGAGGGAAGUGGAAUUCCCGGUGUAGUGGUGAAAUGCGUAGAUAUCGGGAGGAACACCGGUGGCGAAGGCGGUUCUCUGGGCCUGUACUGACGCUGAGGAACGAAAGCGUGGGGAGCGAACAGG